AUUCCGGUUGAUCCUGCCGGAGGCCAUUGCUAUCGGAGUCCGAUUUAGCCAUGCUAGUCGCACGAGUUCAGACUCGUGGCAUAUAGCUCAGUAACACGUGGCCAAACUACCCUACAGACCGCGAUAACCUCGGGAAACUGAGGCCAAUAGCGGAUAUCACUCUCAGACUGGAGUGUCGAGAGUGAGAAACGUUCCGGCGCUGUAGGAUGUGGCUGCGGCCGAUUAGGUAGAUGGUGGGGUAACGGCCCACCAUGCCGAUAAUCGGUACAGGUUGUGAGAGCAAGAGCCUGGAGACGGUAUCUGAGACAAGAUACCGGGCCCUACGGGGCGCAGCAGGCGCGAAACCUUUACACUGCACGACAGUGCGAUAGGGGGACUCCGAGUGUGAGGGCAUAUAGCCCUCGCUUUUCUGUACCGUAAGGUGGUACAGGAACAAGGACUGGGCAAGACCGGUGCCAGCCGCCGCGGUAAUACCGGCAGUCCAAGUGAUGGCCGAUAUUAUUGGGCCUAAAGCGUCCGUAGC
rnacentral:rRNA from 2 species